CUCAACCCAGCAUAGCAGCCAGUCCCCCAAGGGGAGAAGAAUUGCCAGGACCCUCAGUUCCACAAUCGUCAGUUCCACAAUCGUCAGCAGCUUCAACCUAGGCCACUGAAGUCGACCCCCAAAAAGCAUGCCAGUUGUUCAGAGAAGAUUUACUGAACAGUUACUCUGAAAGUCCAUGCCUCUCUCUAUCACUCGACAUGUUUGAUGCAGAAGAAGAACAGGACAGUGCAUUCAUUUCAUUCUAUAAGCAGAAUAAUAUGAACUGGGCAGCUCCAUUCAAGUGCAGGCUGAGAGACCGUGAUCCAGAGCAUUACCUGGCCACAAUCCAACUUUGACAGCGACGAGGAUGAGGACGACGUUCCAUUGGAGAAAAUCAGUCUUGUCACUGGAUUUUUGAGAAAAUUCAUAGAGGAAGCGUCACCAGAUGUGCUGCGUGACCUGAUGAAGUUUUGGGUGGGGUGGGAACUGCCAACAACAAAACUCAACGUUGAGGUUGUAACCUCAACUUAUCCAGUGGCUCUCACCUGCUUCUUCAAGUUGAAGCUCCCCAGCCUCUACCAGACCUACAAGAUUUUUCACCAGGACUUAAUGAUGGCCCUCAGUUCCGUAAGUUCUGGCUUUGGACUUGUGUAGGUGCAAGUUAAGUUGUGUCAUCAACUUCUUGCACUCGGUCCCUCUUUUGAAAUGGAAUCACUUAAAAGAGCAAUUCCUGCUAAUUUAUGCACCAUUAACGUUAUAAAGUUUGAUUAUUCUACUUGAUUGUCAGGCACCACCUUCACCUGUCAAUAAAUACUUUGGAGUUGGUUUGGUGAUUGUCUUUAGCCUGUGUUUUUUUUAAUUUGCACUAGUUCUUUAGUGAUUUUCAUAUUCUUAAUCUAGCUGCUAGUGUACUUUUGUGAUGUCCUCUGCAGUGCAAUGAGCUUGGAUCAUAUAAAGAUCAUCUCUUUGAGAGCUGUGGCAGCUUUCUUGGCCUCUCUAGUUCAUUAAGCUCAGACUUCCAUAGACAUUUCGUUGUAAUUAUUGAACAGUUUAUACAGCUAGUACAUGUUUAAUACAUUCAGAUGUUUAGGUAGAUACCAGUUUCUCCAAUAUUACUGUUGCCCUUUUACAGUAAUGUUCUAAAUGACAGUGUGUACACCUAACAAUGUUGGUUUUGUAAAGCCGAUUUGUCUAAAUUUGUUACCCCUUUACAGUGAUGUGUUGUAAAUACAACUGUACUGCUACAUUUGAUAAAUUUACACAAGACUUCCCAGAAUUGUAU